CUAACCUCGAAUUAAGAAAGUGUAACUUACAUUUUCUCUAUGCUUACCUGUGAUGCUCCUGAAUGUCCUGUGUCCCACCUUGAGGAUUGUCUCCCUUUGCUACUUAUGCCAUUGCUGAGCAAUUUCAUUAUCCAGUUGGUUCAGAUGUGGAUGAACUGUAGAUGUAUGCAUACUGCCAGAGGUGCCCUUGGGAAAAGCAACACUAUUUUAAAAACAGUUGAGCCACUGUCAUGCUACUGAAAAAUGUGGUUAAAGUGCAACACAGUACACAAAUAGUGCAGCAAGCCCUUCAGAUAAAAAUAAUAAUAAAAUAAAGUUUAAAUU